GACGAACGCUGGCGGCGUGCUUAACACAUGCAAGUCGAACGGAGUGGCGAACGGGUGUGUAACACGUGGGUGACCUUCCCUGCACUUCGGGAUAAGCCUGGGCAACUGGGUCUAAUACCGGAUAGUGGGGGAUGGGCCCGCGGCCUAUCAGCUUGUUGGUGGGGUAAUGGCCUACCAAGGAGGCGACGGGUAGCCGGCCUGAGAGGGGGGACGGCCACAUUGGGACUGGGACACGGCCCAGACUCCUACGGGAGGCAGCAGUGGGGAAUGUUGCACAAUGGGCGGAAGCCGGGUGCAGGGACGCCGCGUGGGGGAUGACGGCAUUCGGGUUGUAAACUCCUUUCACCAUCGACGCGGUAGAUGGAGAAGAAGCACCGGCUAACUACGUGCCAGCAGCCGCGGUAAUA
rnacentral:rRNA from 1 species